UACGGAGGGUGCAAGCGUUGUUCGGAAUUAUUGGGCGUAAAGGGCGUGUAGGUGGCUAUGCAAGUCUGGUGUGAAAGCCCACGGCUCAACCGUGGAACUGCAUUGGAAACUGCAUAGCUCGAGUGUUGGAGGGGGUCGCGGAAUUCCCGGUGUAGAGGUGAAAUUCGUAGAUAUCGGGAGGAACACCAGUGGCGAAGGCGGCGACCUGGCCAAUUACUGACACUGAGACGCGAAAGCGUGGGGAGCAAACAGG
rnacentral:rRNA from 1 species